UUGAUAUAAUCUUAUAAACGAUGUGCUUACGAAAAGUAGGCACAUUACAAUGAAAAGCAAAUAUUUGAUAUGGCAAUAAGAAAUCGUAUCACAUUUUUCAAGGGAUCUUUGCCCCAUACACAUACACCUAAAUGUAAAUAGAAGCAAGUGGAUUUGAUUAAAUUAUAUGCAAUUUACAUAUUACUUCUUAAUGGAAAGAAUAAAAUUUAUAAUCAGAUUGCAUUUAACAAAUUUCGCGAAAAUUGUUGGCGAUCGUAAAGGUAAGAAAAAACUCAAGAUGAAAACCGAAAACGUAACAAUAUUGUGAUUCGGUUCUGCAUUCAUUACCAUGCACUGUGUCACCUUCUAUGCCAAUUACAAGUUGAAGGAAAACCUUUCAACACGGGAGCAUCUCGUUUUUGGAGGCAUCUUUGUAAGCAUUUUUCCACGAAUCAUAAAAAGUUGUGAGCUUUUCAAUUAGGGCAUUACUUCACAUCUUCCACAUUUUUAAUGGAACCUUUCUCAAAUUGCUUACUGUUAUUGUCAGAAGAA